rnacentral:rRNA from 1 species
GAUGAACGCUGGCGGUGUGCCUAAUACAUGCAAGUCGAGCGAACAGACGAGGAGCUUACUCCUCUGACGUUAGCGGCGGACGGGUGAGUAACACGUGGAUAACCUACCUAUAAGACUGGGAUAACUUCGGGAAACCGGAGCUAAUACCGGAUAACAUGUUGAACCGCAUGGUUCAACAGUGAAAGACGGUCUUGCUGUCACUUAUAGAUGGAUCCGCGUCGCAUUAGCUAGUUGGUAAGGUAACGGCUUACCAAGGCAACGAUGCGUAGCCGACCUGAGAGGGUGAUCGGCCACACUGGAACUGAGACACGGUCCAGACUCCUACGGGAGGCAGCAGUAGGGAAUCUUCCGCAAUGGGCGAAAGCCUGACGGAGCAACCCCGCGUGAGUGAAGAAGGUCUUCGGAUCGUAAAACUCUGUUAUUAGGGAAGAACAAAUGUGUAAGUAACUAUGCACGUCUUGACGGUACCUAAUCAGAAAGCCACGGCUAACUACGUG